UCGAGCCGAGUAGCAGACGGGUGAGUAACGCAUAGGAAUCUACCUCAAAGUGGGGAAUAGCCCAGCGAAAGCUGGGAUAAUACCGCAUGUGCCCGCAAGGGUAAAGCAGCAAUGCGCUUUGAGAGGGGCCUAUGUACUAUCAGUUAGUUGGUGGGGUAAUAGCCUACCAAGACGAUGACGGUUAGCCGAUGUGAGAGCAUGAUCGGCCACAAUGUUACUGAGACACGGAACAUACACCUACGGGUGGCAGCAACUAGGAAUCUUGCGCAAUGGACGAAAGUCUGACGCAGCGACACCGCGUGAGGGAUGACACUUCUCGGAGUGUAAACCUCUGUGGCGAGGGAAGAAAAGGACGGUACCUCGCUAGAAAGCACCAGCAAACUACGUGCCAGAAGCUUCGGUAAUACGUAGGGUGCAAGCGUUAUCCGGAUUUAUUGGGCGUAAAGCGUCUGCAGGUUUUUUGGUAAGUCUUUUGUCCAGGCCCUCAGCUCAACUGAGGAAAGGCAGGGGAAACUACCAGAAUAGAGUGUAUUUGAGGAGCCUGGAAUUCUCGGUGGAGGGGUGAAAUCCAUAGAUAUCGAGAGGAACACCAUAUGCGAAGGCAGGGCUCUAGAAUAUUACUGACACUCAGAGACGACAGCUUGGGUAGCAAACGGGAUUAGAGACCCCGGUAGUCCAAGCCGUAAACUUAUCCUUGCUAGUUG
rnacentral:rRNA from 1 species